UACUAAAAGUGAUUUUUGCGAAAUGCUUUCUUGUCUGUUGUACUGACAGCUGUUUUCCACUGGGGGGCACUGUGUCCAAACCACAUGCAAUCCAAAGCCUGGAAGCGGAAGUAGACCUAAUUUAAGAUAUUUGUAUUGAUGUAUUUUAAGGGUUUUUACAAACACAAUUAAAUAAAUUUACGUCAUGAAUAAUACUUAUUUCAUUCUUGAAAAUCAUAAUAGAGAUUAGAGGAGAAGAACCAGAAGCGUUCAAUGGAAAGCUUGACAACUCUCUUCCUCUCUGGAUGAUGGAAACAGGAUGAAGACAGAUGGGCAGGAUUUCCAUGUCCCCCUUCAGCUGAUGUGAAUGCGAUAGAGGCCAGGACUCUUUGGCACAGAGCAAUUACCAGCUCCUUGGAAAAGAAGGUCACUUCAGAGACGGGAUGUGUGAUUAUAACCUCGGAAGCUGACCAGCUGCAUCCCUCUGCGGUCAGCCCUUCACAUAAAGAAGAUGGUUAGCGCUUGAAUAAUUGACCUGAGGUUCUGCCAGAAAACUCAAAUACGGCCUUGAACGUCUGCUUAGGUGGGGGAGGAUUUACUGGGUUACUUGACCAAUUUCUGUAAUUUACACUCUCUGUUAAAGAAAUUAUAGUCACCAAUUAAACUUGCAUUUUAUUAAAAAAAAAAAAAAAAGUUCAACAGUAAACUCCUUAAUAUCAGUCCAAGAGUAGUCAAACCAUUGCAGACUAAGACCUGCAUAUGUGUGAUUUCUGUUUGCUGUUUUAAAGUUUCUCACAUACAAAAUUAAAGCAUCACAAUUUGUUGCUACGGUCAUGGAAAAAAGUUAAUUAAAAAAAACCUUUUGAGGCAAGAAAGAAAACGAGGAUCUGUACAUUUUGAUUUCAUUUGAUUCUCAUCUCAAAAAUAUGUCAACAUACAUUAAAUAGAAAACACAAGCAUUUUUUUUCAACAAAAACGUAGGUUUUUAUUAAAUAAAAAUGUUUUUAUUGUGAAAUUCGGCUAUUCUGAAUUAGCUAAAUUAAGUUAUGUUUCACUUAAUUUAGCUAAGAAAAGCAGCAGACAGAGAGUUAUGGGAAGUUAAAAUCAGAUUACACGUCAUCACCACUGUGAAACAUGGUAGUGGUAGUAUCAUGCUGUGGAGACAGGGUAAACCUGUUCACAUGCAUGACAAAAGUUUGAUUCAUUUUAACAUUUUAAAACAGAUCUUUAAAAAAAAAAAAAAAAAAAAGAUCCUAACAGAGUCUAAAUCAGGCAAACAGGGAUUAUCUUGAUUUACUUAAUCCCUUCAUGUUUGACAUCCAGCAUAAAUCUUUGAAACUUAAACUAUGCCCAUUCUCAGAUCCAGGUGUAAAACCUAAAAACUAAUUUUGUAAUGUCUGUGAUUAUUGUUCUGUUGGAAUUAUAUUCUUAGGCCCAGUUACCAACUCCUCUGAGUUUUGUUUACCUUAAAUUUCCCUUAAGGCAGCUCCAGGCCAGCCGUCUGCAGCAUGAGCUGUUUAUUUAUAGACACUGCAUGAUUUUAAAACCAGUAAACAACGCAAUGAUGAGGAAACACAUUAUGGAGGUUUUUCAUAUCACUUUUUAGGUUGAAUAUAUUCAAUAUUAUCAUUUAAAAGGACAAUAAAUAUCAGUUUUAGUUCU